CCUACGGGAGACAGCAGUGAGGAAUAUUGGUCAAUGGGCGUAAGCCUGAACCAGCCAAGUCGCGUGAGGGAUGAAGGUUCUAUGGAUCGUAAACCUCUUUUAUAAGGGAAUAAAGUGUGGGACGUGUCCUGUUUUGUAUGUACCUUAUGAAUAAGGAUCGGCUAACUCCGUGCCAGCAGCCGCGGUAAUACGGAGGAUCCGAGCGUUAUCCGGAUUUAUUGGGUGUAAAGGGUGCGUAGGCGGCCUUUUAAGUCAGCGGUGAAAGUCUGUGGCUCAACCAUAGAAUUGCCGUUGAAACUGGGAGGCUUGAGUAUGUUUGAGGCAGGCGGAAUGCGUGGUGUAGCGGUGAAAUGCUUAGAUAUCACGCAGAACCCCGAUUGCGAAGGCAGCCUGCCAAGCCAUGACUGACGCUGAUGCACGAAAGCGUGGGGAUCAAACAGGAUUAGAUACCCGGGUAGUC
rnacentral:rRNA from 1 species